rnacentral:rRNA from 1 species
UACGGAGGAUGCGAGCGUUAUCCGGAUUUAUUGGGUUUAAAGGGUGCGUAGGCGGGCUUUUAAGUCAGCGGUAAAAAUUCGGGGCUCAACCCCGUCCGGCCGUUGAAACUGGGGGCCUUGAGUGGGCGAGAAGAAGGCGGAAUGCGUGGUGUAGCGGUGAAAUGCAUAGAUAUCACGCAGAACCCCAAUUGCGAAGGCAGCCUUCCGGCGCCCUACUGACGCUGAGGCACGAAAGUGCGGGGAUCGAACAGG